GGGUUGUGAGGUUAAGCGACUAAGCGUACACGGUGGAUGCCCUGGCAGUCAGAGGCGAUGAAGGGCGUGCUAAUCUGCGAUAAGCGCCGGUAAGGUGAUAUGAACCGUUAUAACCGGCGAUACCCGAAUGGGGAAACCCAGUGUGACUCGUCACACUAUCAUUAACUGAAUCCAUAGGUUAAUGAGGCGAACCGGGGGAACUGAAACAUCUAAGUACCCCGAGGAAAAGAAAUCAACCGAGAUUCCCCCAGUAGCGGCGAGCGAACGGGGAGGAGCCCAGAGCCUGAAUCAGCAUGUGUGUUAGUGGAAGCGUCUGGAAAGGCGCGCGAUACAGGGUGACAGCCCCGUACACAAAAGCGCAUGUGCUGUGAGCUCGAUGAGUAGGGCGGGACACGUGGUAUCCUGUCUGAAUAUGGGGGGACCAUCCUCCAAGGCUAAAUACUCCUGACUGACCGAUAGUGAACCAGUACCGUGAGGGAAAGGCGAAAAGAACCCCGGCGAGGGGAGUGAAAAAGAACCUGAAACCGUGUACGUACAAGCAGUGGGAGCCCCACCACUAAGCCAGUGGUGAACUCCACAUCCGCAUCCUUUGCUGAGGAUACGGUUAACGGAGCGAAAGCGACGUUCAACCGCAAAACAAGCAGAGGGGGCUUAGUGGUGGGGUGACUGCGUACCUUUUGUAUAAUGGGUCAGCGACUUAUAUUCUGUAGCAAGGUUAACCGUAUAGGGGAGCCGGAGGGAAACCGAGUCUUAAUUGGGCGUUAAGUUGCAGGGUAUAGACCCGAAACCCGGUGAUCUAGCCAUGGGCAGGUUGAAGGUUGGGUAACACUAACUGGAGGACCGAACCGACUAAUGUUGAAAAAUUAGCGGAUGACCUGUGGCUGGGGGUGAAAGGCCAAUCAAACCGGGAGAUAGCUGGUUCUCCCCGAAAGCUAUUUAGGUAGCGCCUCGUGAAUUCAUCUCCGGGGGUAGAGCACUGUUUCGGCUAGGGGGCCAUCCCGGCUUACCAACCCGAUGCAAACUGCGAAUACCGGAGAAUGUUAUCACGGGAGACACACGGCGGGUGCUAACGUCCGUCGUGAAGAGGGAAACAACCCAGACCGCCAGCUAAGGUCCCAAAGUCAUGGUUAAGUGGGAAACGAUGUGGGAAGGCCCAGACAGCCAGGAUGUUGGCUUAGAAGCAGCCAUCAUUUAAAGAAAGCGUAAUAGCUCACUGGUCGAGUCGGCCUGCGCGGAAGAUGUAACGGGGCUAAACCAUGCACCGAAGCUGCGGCAGCGAACGUAUCACCCAAGACAACUUUACGGAGUUGACGAUUGACGGAGCGAAGCGACGUCAAAGCGUUCAUUAAAGUCGAGUUGGCUUAGGGAUACGUUCGUUGGGUAGGGGAGCGUUCUGUAAGCCUGUGAAGGUGUGUCGUGAGGCAUGCUGGAGGUAUCAGAAGUGCGAAUGCUGACAUAAGUAACGAUAAAGCGGGUGAAAAGCCCGCUCGCCGGAAGACCAAGGGUUCCUGUCCAACGUUAAUCGGGGCAGGGUGAGUCGACCCCUAAGGCGAGGCCGAAAGGCGUAGUCGAUGGGAAACGGGUUAAUAUUCCCGUACUUGGUGUUACUGCGAAGGGGGGACGGAGAAGGCUAUGUUGGCCGGGCGACGGUUGUCCCGGUUUAAGCGUGUAGGUGUGUGUUCCAGGUAAAUCCGGUUCACUUUAACACUGAGGCGUGAUGACGAGGCACUACGGUGCUGAAGCAACAAAUGCCCUGCUUCCAGGAAAAGCCUCUAAGCAUCAGGUAACAUCAAAUCGUACCCCAAACCGACACAGGUGGUCAGGUAGAGAAUACCAAGGCGCUUGAGAGAACUCGGGUGAAGGAACUAGGCAAAAUGGUGCCGUAACUUCGGGAGAAGGCACGCUGACACGUAGGUGAAGUGAUUUACUCACGGAGCUGAAGUCAGUCGAAGAUACCAGCUGGCUGCAACUGUUUAUUAAAAACACAGCACUGUGCAAACACGAAAGUGGACGUAUACGGUGUGACGCCUGCCCGGUGCCGGAAGGUUAAUUGAUGGGGUCAGCGCAAGCGAAGCUCCUGAUCGAAGCCCCGGUAAACGGCGGCCGUAACUAUAACGGUCCUAAGGUAGCGAAAUUCCUUGUCGGGUAAGUUCCGACCUGCACGAAUGGCGUAAUGAUGGCCAGGCUGUCUCCACCCGAGACUCAGUGAAAUUGAACUCGCUGUGAAGAUGCAGUGUACCCGCGGCAAGACGGAAAGACCCCGUGAACCUUUACUAUAGCUUGACACUGAACAUUGAGCCUUGAUGUGUAGGAUAGGUGGGAGGCUUUGAAGUGUGGACGCCAGUCUGCAUGGAGCCGACCUUGAAAUACCACCCUUUAAUGUUUGAUGUUCUAACGUGGACCCGUAAUCCGGGUUGCGGACAGUGUCUGGUGGGUAGUUUGACUGGGGCGGUCUCCUCCUAAAGAGUAACGGAGGAGCACGAAGGUUGGCUAAUCCUGGUCGGACAUCAGGAGGUUAGUGCAAUGGCAUAAGCCAGCUUGACUGCGAGCGUGACGGCGCGAGCAGGUGCGAAAGCAGGUCAUAGUGAUCCGGUGGUUCUGAAUGGAAGGGCCAUCGCUCAACGGAUAAAAGGUACUCCGGGGAUAACAGGCUGAUACCGCCCAAGAGUUCAUAUCGACGGCGGUGUUUGGCACCUCGAUGUCGGCUCAUCACAUCCUGGGGCUGAAGUAGGUCCCAAGGGUAUGGCUGUUCGCCAUUUAAAGUGGUACGCGAGCUGGGUUUAGAACGUCGUGAGACAGUUCGGUCCCUAUCUGCCGUGGGCGCUGGAGAACUGAGGGGGGCUGCUCCUAGUACGAGAGGACCGGAGUGGACGCAUCACUGGUGUUCGGGUUGUCAUGCCAAUGGCACUGCCCGGUAGCUAAAUGCGGAAGAGAUAAGUGCUGAAAGCAUCUAAGCACGAAACUUGCCCCGAGAUGAGUUCUCCCUGAGACUUUAGGUCUCCUGAAGGAACGUUGAAGACGACGACGUUGAUAGGCCGGGUGUGUAAGCGCAGCGAUGCGUUGAGCUAACCGGUACUAAUGAACCGUGAGGCUUAACCUUACAACGCCGAAG
rnacentral:rRNA from 1 species